GGGGAUGUAGCUAAGCGGGAGAGCACUUGCUUUGCAUGUAAGAGGCCCUGGGUUCAACCCCCAGCAUCUCCA
rnacentral:tRNA from 1 species